UCUCUUUCCAAACUUACCAUUUUCAUAGACAACCCCACCCAUUCAAUGCAUGUUUGGAUUGUUGAAGUUUGCAAAAGUAUCAUAAGUCUUGUUUCUCCAAAACAUUUUACUUUCAAACAUACUAUUAAAGGGUAACCAAAUAUGAUCCAGACUCAUUUUACUCUUUAACAUACUUUUGGAACUUUCCAUGGGAAAUUCAAACAUACCCAAGUCAUUCAACCCAAAAGACUUUUACACCAUCGCUUGAUGAACUCAUCGUCGAACCCUAUUUCACCAGGUUUUCUUCUGAAUGAUGAAUCAAAGUGAGGUAACCAGGAAGAGACUUUUUUCACUUGCCCUAAGAUUAUGGAUAUUUAGAAGGAGUGGUAGUAUAGAGGAGAGAACAUAUCAAUAGUGCUUCCGCAAUGACCACAUCAACAUUAGUGGCAACAUUCUGCUAGUGGAGGUGCACUUCACAUGGGCAAUAUGAGAAUGGUAAUAUGGUUUGCAUAUGGAAUCAUAGAAAUAAAUGGGUUUUUUUUUUUGGGGAAAGACAUUUGAUAAGGAUGAACUAAAACAACAAUUCCUAUUCACUGCUUGGUCCUGGUUAAAUAGCCACCACACAAAUUUUGUAUACUCCUUCCUACAAUGGUCGAUUAACCCUUGGCAGUGCUUACCGGAGAGACGCUAACGGGGGGUUGGGUUUGAUGGUAUUGAUAUUUAAAGGGAGGGUGUGCAUUGCUACUUGUCUACCACAUUUAUUGGUUGGCAAACACAUGAAGAUAGAAAUACUUCAUAUUCUUGUGUUGUGUGAUUUCUAUCGACUAAGUAUGGAGAAUGUUUUGUCUGUUAUGAAUUGCAACUGCCGGUGUUACACUACAAAUAAAGUAUGCGUUUUGCAA